rnacentral:SRP_RNA from 1 species
CCCCAGGUCCUAGGCAGCAGAAAUUUACGAACCCCGCCAGGACCGGAAGGUAGCAACGGUAAGUAAACCCUUCUGUGUGCUUAGGGGCACCUGGGGAGC